rnacentral:tRNA from 1 species
CAAGAAGUCCCUUCCCCUCGAGUAUCAGCUUUGGGUCAGAUGGUGGGGAAUAGAUACUUCUCCUUGA